UGGGGAAUUUUGGACAAUGGGGGCAACCCUGAUCCAGCAAUGCCGCGUGUGUGAAGAAGGCCUGCGGGUUGUAAAGCACUUUUGGCAGGGAUGAAAAGCACUGGAUUAAUAACCCAGUGUGUUGACCUAACCUGCAGAAGAAGCACCGGCUAACUCUGUGCCAGCAGCCGCGGUAAUACAGAGGGUGCGAGCGUUAAUCGGAGUGACUGGGCGUAAAGGGCAUGUAGGCGGUUAUAUUAGUCUGAUGUAAAAGACCCGGGCUUAACCUGGGAUAUGCAUUGGAAACGGUAUAGCUAGAGUAUGGGAGAGGGAAGUGGAAUUUCCGGUGUAGCGGUGAAAUGCGUAGAGAUCGGAAAGAACACUCGUGGCGAAGGCGGCUUUCUGGCCCAUAACUGACGCUGAGGUGCGAAAGCAUGGGGAGCAAACAGGAUUAGAUACCCUUGUAGUCCCUGAGCGGGCUGGCAAGGCGCAU
rnacentral:rRNA from 1 species